GAUUAUGCUCUGGGUUGAAUGUUACAAAAGGAUAGUUUGCUUAUAAAAUUUUCUUUGAACAUACUGCAUUACUCGAAAAUGAGUCAACGGUUUCCAUCUCAUCAGUUACCAUCAUGGGGUAUAAGUGGCAAAAUAGUAUGACAGGGUGGGUUGCUUAACUCUUGAUGGUAUGUCUGCUUAACAUAUAUGAAUGAGAAAGGAGAAGCUUGCUUACAUUGCUCGAGACUAUGAGCAAGAGCUUGAGACUGCCAACAUCUCCUGUUGAGAGGAGUUAUGAGCUGCCUGAUGGGCGAGUAGACAUCACCAUUUUUUAUGAGCAUUUUCAUUGUUCAGAGGUCUUAUUUCUGCCAUCAUUAAUUGGAAUGGAAGCUGUUGGUAUUCAUGAGACCACAUAUAACCCCAUUAUGAAAUGUGACCCGGAGGUGAACCAUAUGCAUCUGGGUUGGAAGAUGAAAUUAUAUGAAUAUGGCAGAUGUGCUUCUGGGUUAGAGGUUAACGUCACGCUUCGGAUAUCAUUUGCAUUUUAUCACAUUCACUACUCCCUACGUAUAUAGAAGGGUUAAUGAACGCGUUACAUCAGAUAAAACAAAAAGCACCGGAUGGACAGAGAAAAGAGAGGAGACCAUCUCUAGUGAUAUAAAAGGGUUAAUGAACGCGUUACAUCAGAUCAAAGAAAAAACAGAAGGAUGGACAGAAGAAAAAAGCGGAGACUAUCUCCAGAUCUCUAUGAAUAAUCCUCAAUCGAGAAUCUUGGUGGAGAUAAAGAAGUCCUCGAGCAAUGCCUAUGAUGAUCUCAUACCGUUUU